rnacentral:rRNA from 1 species
CCUACGGGAGACAGCAGUGAGGAAUAUUGGUCAAUGGACGAGAGUCUGAACCAGCCAAGCAGCGUGAAGGAUGACUGCCCUAUUGGUUGUAAACUUCUUUUAUAAAGGAAUAAAACGAGGCACGUGUGCCUUUUUGCAUGUACUUUAUGAAUAAGGAUCGGCUAACUCCGUGCCAGCAGCCGCGGUAAUACGGAGGAUCCGAGCGUUAUCCGGAUUUAUUGGGUUUAAAGGGAGCGUAGAUGGGUUGUUAAGUCAGUUGUGAAAGUUUGCGGCUCAACCGUAAAAUUGCAAUUGAUACUGGCAGUCUUGAGUACAGUUGAGGUAGGCGGAAUUCGUGGUGUAGCGGUGAAAUGCUUAGAUAUCACGAAGAACCCCGAUUGCGAAGGCAGCUUACUAAACUGUGACUGACAUUGAUGCUCGAAAGUGUGGGUAGCAAACAGGAUUAGAUACCCCAGUAGUC